GGAACCCGAGCGCGGAACCAGGGAGGGGGAGGCCGGGCGAGCGAAGGGCUGCGCCAGCCGGCGGCGCGUCGCGGGGCAAGCCGGCGCGGAAGGAUGACAUAACCCUCCGCCCCUCCUUCUUCGGAAUUGAAAUUCUGGAGAGACAGGAGCACGUGGAUGUCUGGAGAAAGGGUGGUUCAAGUGGAAGGAACAACAAAAAUGUAAAGGCUCGGAACAGGUGAGUUCCUGGGGGAUUGAGGAGGCGCUUACUUCGGAGUGGAGCCAGUCAGGAUGCGGCUCAACCGGACCUCCCACUCCAGUGACAGCAACUUCGUGAACGUUGCCCAGGACUUCCAUUUUGCCAAAUCCACCGGUUAUUUCUUAGCCUUUACGUUAUGAUUUGAUAAGAAACUACAACAAUAAACCCGAUCAAAGGU